CCCUGCUCAGGACGAACGCUGGCGGCAUGCCUAAUACAUGCAAGUCGAGCGGAGUUUGAAUGGAAGCUUGCUUCCRUUCUUGCUUAGCGGCGGACGGGUGAGUAACACGUAGGCAACCUGCCCUCAAGACUGGGAUAACUACCGGAAACGGUAGCUAAUACCGGAUAAUUUCUUUCCUCUCCUGAAGAGAGAAUGAAAGGCGGAGCAAUCUGCUACUUGGGGAUGGGCCUGCGGCGCAUUAGCUAGUUGGUGAGGUAACGGCUCACCAAGGCGACGAUGCGUAGCCGACCUGAGAGGGUGAACGGCCACACUGGGACUGAGACACGGCCCAGACUCCUACGGGAGGCAGCAGUAGGGAAUCUUCCGCAAUGGGCGAAAGCCUGACGGAGCAAUGCCGCGUGAGUGAUGAAGGUUUUCGGAUCGUAAAGCUCUGUUGCCAGGGAAGAACGUCCGGUAGAGUAACUGCUGCCGGAGUGACGGUACCUGAGAAGAAAGCCCCGGCUAACUA
rnacentral:rRNA from 1 species